rnacentral:ribozyme from 1 species
ACUGAUCCUUUAUGGAUUGCAACAUUAAAAUUAACUAAUGGUGAUCGUAGAGAAGCACUUAAAUUAUUAGAAGAUCCUGAUUCUUUAAUGCAAUAUCCUGAAAUUGCUAAAUUAAUUACUGAAGGAGGUGAUGAUAAAGAAGAUG